GGUCCCGUAGCGUAGCGGUGAACACACUGGACAUUGAAUCCAGUAACCCGAGUUCGAAUCUCGCCGGGACCU
rfam:Angiostrongylus costaricensis strain Costa Rica genome assembly, scaffold: ACOC_scaffold0000756